rnacentral:lncRNA from 1 species
UCAGUUAUAAGCCAUGAUGGACGAACCUUAAGUCAAACUGGAGUAUUGCUACUGUGCGCAUAUCCAUAACCAAAAUAACAGUAGACAAAUAUCAGUAAAAAAACCUGUUACAAAAAUCAAUACGUGGUUAAAAUAGAACAACUACUGCAGUGAAAAGUAAAAAGAGAGGGUUAUUGUAAAUUCACUACAGACAAAACCUUACCUUUGGAAGGACCACAUCAAUUUGGAGGACCACCAAAUCUGAGGAAAAAUCUUGCUAACGGAAUGAUUCUCCCACCAAUUUGACAGCUCAUGAAAGAGAGGAAAGAUUGAACCUCGUACAAAAACGCUAUAAAUAAGGACCUCCAGGGAUGAAGUAGGGAUCCGAAUUUCUGCGCCGUUACUCUGGAGAAAUCAUUCCAAAACCCUCAUUAAAAAGCUCCGUUUUGAACUUGUUGAGAUUUUCACACCGAAGCUCAACAAGCUCGAGCUAAGCCCCUGUCAAAACCGAAACAAACCCAAAUCGUUAAAGAGGAAGCGAAGAAGACGGAAAGUUCGAGAGGAAGAAAGAACCUUGAAGGACGCUAAGGAUCAUUUACCUCACCUUGCCGGAUUUGAAACGUCGGACUAGCUCCGAUUUGGUAUUUAACAUUUCCCCUUUGCAUGAUUUGAUAUUACCAUCUUGUUCACAUCGCCUCACAAAACGCAAACCCCGUGAUUAUUGCAUAAAAUUGUUGUUACCAUGGUUUUGAUUUUGAGCUGAAAACCCAGGUUUCUGAUUGUGUUUGUUUUCCGAAUCUGGCUCUUUGGAUUUUGCUGGUUUAAAUCUGGGUUAGGAUUGUUUGUUUGAUUAGGAAUUUGGUGGUGGUUUCCGAGUCUCGUGACGGCACCGCCGUGGUUGCACGGUUUGCCUCAACGGUGAGGUGGGUUUUGGAACAGAGGAAAUCGUUUUAAGAGAGAGAGAGUUUAGCGAAGGCUUUUUGUUUAUGCUCACACUUUGUUUUUCCUCACUAAUAAUACAUCUGAUGCUGGGAUAAUGAACUUUUCAAGCGUCUUUUGAAUGAUAACGUUACUGUACAUUCAUGUUUUAAUGCACCAUAUUUUAAUUAUUAUUUGUUUGGUUUUCAAUGCAUAGAUUAAAGGGAAUAUAUUUAUGAACUUGUCGGUUCCUAUGUUGAGAAAUGGAACGACUAUCUUGAAAGAUGAGGCUCCCGCCUCUUUUGCUUUAUUCUUUUUUUUUACUUUAUUAUUUAUUUUAGUAGUUAAUAAAGAUUGGGCCAGGUUUAAAUCCAGUUUUUCUUUCUACAUCAUCUUAAAUUUGUUCUUACCCCCCUGCGAUUUGCAACAAAGAAUAGGUUACUCGCCUUUUGGACCAAACACAAUUUGCUAAUAAGCACCGUUUGUUUAUCUUUCUAAAUAUUUCUUUAAGUUAAGUAAAUAAA